UGUGUGUGUGUGUUUUUUUUUUUGUAUUUAAGUUUAUGCCUAAAUUGUAUGCCAGUUAUACAUCUCUAUGCCACUUACGUUUUCUGCUUGAUGCCGUGCUGUAGAUCAGACACCUGGUCAGCUUACCGCAGCAAAACUCUCCUGCCCCCAGGUUCCGUGGUUAAGGAGCCUUAAUACCAUGACAUACCCCCACAAUGCCUCUAGCCACCACAACACACACGCACCCAUGGAAUACAAACCAAACCGGAGAUGUGCUAUGUGUCUUAACUCACCUAACUUGCAAAUGCACACAAGUCACCUUUAAAGCAUAGGUUAACCAUAGCGACAGAGCUUAGAACCGCAGCUGAUCCACCUACAUGUCAGCCUCCCCGCUCACUAGUCUAACACCUGAUAUCACCGAAGAUAUGUCAGCCUGUUACAGCCUGUUACAGUUCCCUACAUAUCUCCAGCCUGUACAAUAUGGACCUAAAUGUAGGUGCUAUGGUUCUUACAUAUACACCUCACCUGCCUGUAGGCUAAAACUUCCCGAAAUUUGAGGCACAACCACUUGCUUGUACCCUACCCUAUCACAUUACUACUAAGCUACCACAAUGUACUAUGUCUGUUGUUAUCACAAAAAAAUGUGCAGUCUAUUCCCUACAACAAAAACUGUGCUAUUAUAUGCCACGUUAUGUUUAUGAUGCCUGUUAUAAGCUUAUGACUGCUAUUGUGGCUGAGUAAGCCUACUGUUAUACCAUGCACAACAGAAAAUAAAGAAUUUUUUUUAAAAAAAGUA